rnacentral:rRNA from 1 species
CAACGUGAGCAACCUACCGAACUGUGGGGGAUAGCCGGCCUAACGGCCGAGUAAUACCGCAUACGCUUUCAGUGAGGCAUUUCAUUGAAAGGAAACCUACGGGACAGAUCGAGGGGCUCGCGGCCUAUCAGCUAGUUGGCGAGGUAACGGCUCACCAAGGCAACGACGGGUAGCUGGUCUGAGAGGAUGGCCAGCCACAUUGGGACUGAGAUACGGCCCAG